rnacentral:rRNA from 1 species
AACGUACGCUGGCGGCACGCCUAACACAUGCAAGUCGAACGCAGUAGCAAUACUGAGCGGCAGACGGGUGAGUAACAUGUGGGAAUCUGCCUUGUGGUUCAGGACAACAUUGGGAAACCGAUGCUAAUACUGGAUAAGCCCUUACGGGGAAAGUUUUAAUGCCAUAAGAUGAGCCCGCAUUUGAUUAGUUAGUUGGUGAGGUAAUGGCUCACCAAGACAAUGAUCAAUAGCUGAUCUGAGAGGAUGAUCAGCCACACUGGGACUGAGACACGGCCCAGACUCCUACGGGAGGCAGCAGUGGGGAAUCUUGCACAAUGGAGGAAACUCUGAUGCAGCGAUGCCGCGUGAGUGAAGAAGGCCUUUGGGUUGUAAAGCUCUUUUGUAGGGGAAGAUAAUGACUGUAUCCUAAGAAUAAGGUCCGGCUAACUUCGUGCCAGCCGCCGCGGUAA